rnacentral:rRNA from 1 species
AUUGAACGCUGGCGGCAUGCCUUACACAUGCAAGUCGAACGGUAACGCGGGGCAACCUGGAGACGAGUGGCGAACGGGUGAGUAAUACAUCGGAACGUGCCUAGUAGUGGGGGAUAACUACGCGAAAGAGUGGCUAAUACCGCAUGAGAUCUACGGAUGAAAGCAGGGGAUCGCAAGACCCUGUGCUACUAGAGCGGCCGAUGGCAGAUUAGGUAGUUGGUGGGAUAAAAGCUUACCAAGCCGACGAUCUGUAGCUGGUCUGAGAGGACGAUCAGCCACACUGGGACUGAGACACGGCCCAGACUCCUACGGGAGGCAGCAGUGGGGAAUUUUGGACAAUGGGCGAAAGCCUGAUCCAGCAAUGCCGCGUGCAGGAUGAAGGCCUUCGGGUUGUAAACUGCUUUUGUACGGAACGAAAAGCCCCGGGUUAAUACCCUGGGGUCAUGACGGUAGCGUAAGAAUAAGCACCGGCUAACUACGUGCCAGCCGCCGCAGUAA